AGGAAAUCAAUCUCGAGACUCCCCGAGUAGCGGCGAGCGAAAGGGGACCGAUGGCCAAACCGUCGAGCGGGCAUACCCGGCAGGGGUUCCGCCGACGGGGUUGCAGGGCCGCGCAUCCGGGGGCUGCCGCCCCCGGGCGCAGGUCCGGCUGGGGAGCGGAACGGCAUGGGAGGGCCGGCCGCAGCGGGUGACAGCCCCGUACGCGAACCCAGACCGGACGGCGCGACGCGGUCCCUGAGUAGGGCCGGGCACGUGAAACCCGGUCCGAACCUGGGUGGACCACCAUCCAAGCCUGAGUACUACCCUGUGACCGAUAGCGCACCAGUACCGUGAGGGAAAGGUGAAAAGCACCCCGGGAGGGGAGUGAAANNGGAGUGAAACAGUACCUGAAACCGUGCGCCCACGAGCAGUCGGAGCACCUUUAUGGUGUGACGGCGUGGAUUUUGUAGAAUGAGCCAGCGAGUCGCUGGCGCGGGGCGAGGUUAACCGAAAGGGAGCCGGAGCGAAAGCGAGCCUUAACAGGGCGACUUGAGUCCCGCGCCGCGGACGCGAAGCCGGGUGAGCUAUCCGUGGGCAGGCUGAAGCGGGGGUAAGACCCCGUGGAGGGCCGAACGCACGUCGGUUGAAAACGGCGGCGAUGACCUGCGGAUAGGGGUGAAAGGCCAAUCAAACCCGGAGAUAUCUCGUUCUCCCCGAAAUAGCUUUAGGGCUAGCGUCGCGCGUUCACCGCCGGAGGUAGAGCACCGGAUGGACGAGGGGGCUUCGCCGCCUACCGAAUCCAACCGAACUCCGAAUGCCGGCGGCCCAGAGCGCGGCAGUCAGAGCAUGUGGGCUAAGCUGUGUGCUCGAGAGGGAAACAGCCCGGACCGCCCGCUAAGGUCCCCAAGUUCCAGCCGAGUGGCAAAGGAUGUGCGUCCGCCCAGACAACCAGGAUGUUGGCUUAGAAGCAGCCAUCCAUUCAAAGAGUGCGUAACAGCUCACUGGUCGAGUGGACAUGCGCCGACAAUACACGGGGCUAAGCUGGACACCGAAGCGGCGGGAUUUUAAUUCAUUAGAAUCGGUAGGGGAGCUUCCCAUGGGCGGAGAAGCCGGAGGGCGACCGACGGUGGAGCGCAUGGGAGUGAGAAUGCUGGCAUGAGUAGCGAGAGACGAGAGAGUAACUCGUCCGCCGUGAACCCGAGGUUUCCUGGGCAAGGCUAAUCCUCCCAGGGUCAGUCGGGGGCUAAGGCGAGGCCGGGAGGCGUAGCCGACGCGGNNCGAGGGCGAGGCUCCGGACGAAGCGACUGAGCGAAGCGAGUGAGCCCGAGGUCCCUAGAAAAACCCCUAGGCAGGCGCGUGCGCGCCCGUACCGCAAACCGACACAGGUGGGUGGGUAGAACAUACCGAGGCGAUCGGGUCAACCAUGGUCAAGGAACUCGGCACAAUGGCCCCGUAACUUCGGGAGAAGGGGUGCCCGCGCGUACGUGAACCGGCUCGCCCGGGGAGCGGAGGCGGGCCGCAGUGGAGAGGCCCAAGCGACUGUUUACCAAAAACACAGGACUCUGCAGAAGCCGCAAGGCGACGUAUAGGGUCUGACGCCUGCCCGGUGCCGGAAGGUCACGCGGAGGAGUUAGCCGAUUCGGCGAAGCCCCGAAGCCAAGCCCCGGUAAACGGCGGCCGUAACUAUAACGGUCCUAAGGUAGCGAAAUUCCUUGUCGGG
rnacentral:rRNA from 1 species